rnacentral:rRNA from 1 species
GACGAACGCUGGCGGCGUGCUUAACACAUGCAAGUCGAGCGGUAAGGCCCUUUCGGGGGUACGACGAGCGGCGAACGGGUGAGUAACACGUGGGUGACCUGCCUCAGCUCUGGGAUAAGCCUGGGAAACCGGGUCUAAUACCGGAUAUGACUCCAUGACGCAUGUUGUGGGGUGGAAAGCCUUGUGCGGCUGAGGAUGGGCCCGCGGCCUAUCAGCUUGUUGGUGGGGUGAUGGCCUACCAAGGCGACGACGGGUAGCCGGCCUGAGAGGGCGACCGGCCACACUGGGACUGAGACACGGCCCAGACUCCUACGGGAGGCAGCAGUGGGGAAUCUUGCGCAAUGGGCGAAAGCCUGACGCAGCGACGCGC